GUAGGGCGGGACACGUGGUAUCCUGUCUGAAUAUGGGGGGACCAUCCUCCAAGGCUAAAUACUCCUGACUGACCGAUAGUGAACCAGUACCGUGAGGGAAAGGCGAAAAGAACCCCGGCGAGGGGAGUGAAAAAGAACCUGAAACCGUGUACGUACAAGCAGUGGGAGCCUCUUUAUGGGGUGACUGCGUACCUUUUGUAUAAUGGGUCAGCGACUUAUAUUCUGUAGCAAGGUUAACCGAAUAGGGGAGCCGAAGGGAAACCGAGUCUUAACUGGGCGUUAAGUUGCAGGGUAUAGACCCGAAACCCGGUGAUCUAGCCAUGGGCAGGUUGAAGGUUGGGUAACACUAACUGGAGGACCGAACCGACUAAUGUUGAAAAAUUAGCGGAUGACUUGUGGCUGGGGGUGAAAGGCCAAUCAAACCGGGAGAUAGCUGGUUCUCCCCGAAAGCUAUUUAGGUAGCGCCUCGUGAAUUCAUCUCCGGGGGUAGAGCACUGUUUCGGCAAGGGGGUCAUCCCGACUUACCAACCCGAUGCAAACUGCGAAUACCGGAGAAUGUUAUCACGGGAGACACACGGCGGGUGCUAACGUCCGUCGUGAAGAGGGAAACAACCCAGACCGCCAGCUAAGGUCCCAAAGUCAUGGUUAAGUGGGAAACGAUGUGGGAAGGCCCAGACAGCCAGGAUGUUGGCUUAGAAGCAGCCAUCAUUUAAAGAAAGCGUAAUAGCUCACUGGUCGAGUCGGCCUGCGCGGAAGAUGUAACGGGGCUAAACCAUGCACCGAAGCUGCGGCAGCGACACUAUGUGUUGUUGGGUAGGGGAGCGUUCUGUAAGCCUGUGAAGGUGGCCUGUGAGGGUUGCUGGAGGUAUCAGAAGUGCGAAUGCUGACAUAAGUAACGAUAAAGCGGGUGAAAAGCCCGCUCGCCGGAAGACCAAGGGUUCCUGUCCAACGUUAAUCGGGGCAGGGUGAGUCGACCCCUAAGGCGAGGCCGAAAGGCGUAGUCGAUGGGAAACAGGUUAAUAUUCCUGUACUUGGUGUUACUGCGAAGGGGGGACGGAGAAGGCUAUGUUGGCCGGGCGACGGUUGUCCCGGUU
rnacentral:rRNA from 1 species